AUACAUUGAGGACAAUGCAUGAUUUAGGUGUGGGGGUGCAUAUUUCUGAAUUUUUACUUUUUAAGUUUAUUUUUGCUUUGAUUUUUAGUUUGCUUGCAUUAGUUGAAAUUUUUUUCAUUUUUUUUGCUUUCAAUAAUACACACACAACCACAACCAUCUUCUUCUUUUUGUUUUGCUCUACUCAAAACUGAUGAACUAUGUUGAAUGAGUCUUUCUUUCCAUGACCCCAUUGAUGUGAAAACUCUUUAAACUUAUGUUGAAUCACUUGCAGUGGGUUAUAUUCAUGCUUGAGAAUUGCCUUUUGAAUUGAAUCUUUGAGUUUGCCAUGGUGAAAAAUAUAUUGAUGACCCUCAAUUGAUCGAGAAUAAAUUAAAAUUGUGUGAAUGAACUUAAUGUGACUUGAUUUAGCAAUUGGUGUUGAUUUGCCCAAAUCAUUGAGAGAAAGAAAAUUCAGCAAAGGCAAAGACCUCAAAAGCACAAAUUGAAAAUUGCUCCAAUGGUCAAAAGACUAUGAACAAGGCAAGUAGCCACUUGGGUAGGUGACCAACUGAAAAAUAUAAACCUUCAAAUAAAAAAUAGGUUGGUGACCUUUCCAAGCGAGAUCUAAAGUGCAAAAGCCUGAAUAAAGUACUUCAAGGUAAGGGCAAGUCAAUCCAAAAGCUAGAAAAAGUCUUAACAAAAAUGUGCAUGUAUGGUCUCUCUUGAGGAAAACAAAUCCUAGCCAUGGUAAGUAAAGGGAAACAAGGAAAAAAGGUGAGUAAUCUUCAUACAUAUAUUCUUCACUGCAAUGAUUCAAAAUAGGGGUUUAGAGUAAGAGUUUAAGUGGAAAUAAGGAUCUAGAGUGAGAAAGCUUGUUUGACUAUGUUUAUUUGCUUGAGGACAAGUAAAAGGCUAAGUGUGGGGGUAUUUGAUAGAGCAUAAUUUAGUCCAUUUUAUAUUAAUAUUAUUGAUAAAUAUUUACAUGAUUU
rnacentral:lncRNA from 1 species